UACGUAGGGUGCAAGCGUUGUCCGGAAUUAUUGGGCGUAAAGAGCUCGUAGGCGGUUCGUCGCGUCGGCUGUGAAAACCCGGAGCUUAACUCCGGGCCUGCAGUCGAUACGGGCGGACUGGAGUUCGGCAGGGGAGACUGGAAUUCCUGGUGUAGCGGUGAAAUGCGCAGAUAUCAGGAGGAACACCAGCGGCGAAGGCGGCGCUCUGGGCUGGAACUGACGCUGAGGAGCGAAAGCGUGGGGAGCGAACAGG
rnacentral:rRNA from 1 species